GAUGUGCAGUUUCUCAUGUUCCUCCAUUAGAGGCAUUCAACAAUGGGCUUUAUGUGAUCUGUAUUGGCUCAAAUGACUUCCUUAUAGCUAUGUUUAGGGACAAUCUAAAUCCUACAACAGAAGACAGUUCCUUUGGUAAUAUCAGCUAUCACCAAAGCCAUACAAGAUCUUCAGAAGGAAGGAGCAAAGAAUUUUUUGGUCUUCAAUUUUCCUGCCCUUGGAUGUACCCCAUUAGCAUUGACUCUAGGUUCUAUGGGAUCAUUCAAUUCGACUGAUCGAUUUGGAUGCCUUCAAGUGUACAAUGCUGUAGUGGAAUUUGCAAAUGAUGGGUUAGAAAAAUCCCUUCAUGUUCUCAGUGACCAGUUCAAGGAUAUACAUGUCACAUUAGUGGACUUCCAGAAGUUUAUCUUUGAUGUGGUUGCAAACCCUACAAGCUAUGGAUUCAAGAGAAGUGAGAAGUUCAAGGCUUCUUGUGGUUAUGGAGGAGGUCCCUCUAACUACAACCCGUU